rnacentral:lncRNA from 1 species
CUUUUAGCUUUCUUGUAGAUCAAGUUAUUCAUUAUCAGUUAAAUAAAAUAAUAUUUUAUUCAAAGUUGCAUUAAAAAGGUAACAGCAAAUUUUAUAUUGUGUUCAAGUUGUAUAUACAUACCUACAUAUAUAUAUAUAUAUAUAUAUAUAUAUAUAUAUAUAUAUGUUAUAUGUUAUAUGAAUUAAUUAAAGAAUUGUUCCGCACUGCGUUCGUCAAAAAAAUAAAAUAGAAUAGAGCAUGUCGAAUAAAACUUUCCAAAUAAACAACUUCAAAUAAUGGCUGUCUCCCGUUUAGCCUAUUCUUAAAUAUGUUAACGUACUAGGCAUAUGUCAUAAUAAAUGUAUAUAUAAUAAAUAAAAUAUUGUAUAUAUAAUAUACAGUUUCGAAAUUUUGACUAGUCCUAUUAUAAUGUCAUACUUUGUUUCGUGCAACUUUUUCUACAUAGUUUAAACUGUGUCAUAUUUACUCUUAUUAUUUUAUAUAUAAUUUAUAUACAUACUUAUAUACACUGUUCUUAAAACAUUUGAAAAAAAUCUAACGUUUAAUAAUCAUGAUUAGUAAUCCAAAUUGUGACUUGACAACUGGAUUAGAAAAUUUAAGAAGGAAUAAUAUAAAUGAGAUAGCCGAAAUAAUUAAGGCACAUAAGCAGAACAAAAAAAACAACCUAAGUGUAUUUCAAACAAGUAAUGAAGCUGAUAAUAUAAAACUUUUAGAAACCUUCACGAAAAAUCAAGAAAUUUGUUUUCUUACAUGUAGAAAGAAUUUAUAUGAAAGACUUGAUAAAGAUAUAGCAAAUUAUAAAAAUUUGAGUAAAAGGAACAAUUUAAAUUUUAAUGAAAAUAACAUCAAACAACUAAAAGAAGAUUAUGAACAAACAGAAAAACAAUUAUGCUUUGAUAUUUGUUCAAAAAAAUACUGCCAUUUAUUAAAAGAGGUGAACAAUUAAGGUGUGCCACAGUAAACUUGUUAAUAACAGUCAAGUUAUAAUAUGAAAAUAAUUUAAUUAAAAUAUGUAUGCAUGUAUGUAUGUAUACAUGCAUGCAUGCAUGUGUUUAUGUGUGUAUAUGCUCAACAAACAUUAAGUUACAACUGCCUAACAACCGGUGUAAUUGUUUUUUCUUUUUUGUUUUUUUUUUUUUUUUUUUAGAAACACAUAACUCAUUCAACCAAUU